CCAAUGUUUUGAAAACCGGACCGGACCGGCCGGUCGGACCGGUUUAACCGGGAACCGGAGCUUGAUCCGGUCCGGUUUGGUGCAGAAACCCGAAAGAGCCAAAAACCCGGGUGAAAGGCCAAAACCCGGAAAACCGCUUGGUCGAACCAGGAAACCGGAAACCGCUCACAAACCCGGUUUUCAGAAGAAAAAAAUGCAUUUUUUUUGCAAAAUAGAAAAGGAUUUACUGAUUCAAGGAUGAAAACUUACAAAUUCGAGAAUUAUGAGCAAAACUUGAAUAUUCACUUGAAGUAAUGGAAUAAAAAAUCUAUAUUUCAUAUGGGUUUUGAGAAACAUCUCAAACCCAGAUCUGAUCGGCGGAGUGAAAGGCACGGAUUUGGGGGGUGCGGACUGAGUUACGUUGUUUGCCGGAGGAAGAUAAAGCAGACGAAGAAGGGGAGGGGAGGCGGCUCUUUGAUUUUGCAGAGGAUGAAUCUAUAUUUUUACCUUUUCUUAUCUUG
rnacentral:lncRNA from 1 species